CACGCUAGCGGCUGGGUAACGUAACACAGGAUAUGCUUGUCUCACCUUUAAAUCCAGGGAAAGACAACACCUACGACUUAUUGUGAUAUAACAGCAUCCAAAAUCUCACACAAUAUCGAGUCUCAUAUCAUGAUAACGACAUAUAUCGCAUGUAUUGAACCAUCGUGUUGAAACAUACAGUCUUUCUGAAGAUGUCAGAGAACACAGCGACACAACUUUGAAAAGUUCUGCACUUACGGUACAAGACGGGACCUUUUCACAUGGACUCCUCUGGUGAACACGGUCCUGUACAAAUCCAGCUGAUGACAACAAAAACAGGAAACCACAAGCAGCACUGAACACGAGAACGAUGGCGUAACAGACUAAUGUCUUUAGGAAGUGGCAGCGCUACAAGUUAGCGCAGUGUCAAGGAUUUGCUAAACUUUGUGGUUGAAAUUACAGUGCAAAUCUCUGAAGCAUUUAAUGCAGCCAGGGAUAAUAUACAACUAUCUGUCAAUACUAAAGGCCGAGCAGCUGGCACUAAUUGAGGGAAAAGAAUUAUGGGUAGCUGCUGGCACAGUGUACAUCUCUGGCUCGGAGCAAUAUCCAUUCCAACGGUGCCACAAUGAGGCCUUCGGGUAGUAAGAUACCUUUGGACAGAAAUCAAGUCGGGGAGUCGGAUGUCUCUCUGCAGGUUGAACACUGCUGUUGUUAAUCCAGUUGCUUUAAACAUAUAAUUCUAACAGUAAAUGUGUGUGUUGUAAACAAGACAGAAGAGAAGGAUGAAGUUUAACUUUGCAGACAAAUGUUCAUUUUAAUGCUGGUAGAUUUUUUUCCACUGGCUUCAUUUUAUUGUGCGACUGUAUCGAAUUGUAAGAGGUUGUAUUUUCACCCGAGUCUGUUUGGUGGUUGGUUUGUAGGCAGAAUUAAACAAAAAACAAAUGAACAGAUUUCCUCAAAACAUGGACAGAAUAGACCCGACUAUCUUCUGUUAUGGAUCCAGAUAAAGGGGCAGAUCCAGGACGUUUUUUCUCGUCUUCUUUAACAUUUGCAUUUUUAGAUGUUUUUGUUUGAAGCAUGGAUGUUGAUGGAAAAAAAAAAUAAGGUGUAUUUAGGUGGCAGGUAUCUAGAAGAGUAUGGAAGGGGACUGUUGGGGCCUUGGCGGAGGUAUGCACUCGACUGAGUUGCAUUAUCAUUCAUACAUAUGAACCGUGUGACUAACACACUGUCUUUUCUCAAGACAGAUGACAUCUAAAUUUAUGGAAGUUGUUUAUUUUGGAGUAAAAAAUCUACACAUUCGGAAACAAAGUUUUCACUGAACUUGAAGUGAAUGAAAAAUUGUAAUCUAUAAGUAACCAACCUGUAAAGUAGUGGAGUAAAACUUACUUUUUUUGCCUCUGAGAUGCGGUGGAGUAGAAUAUAAAGUUGCAUGAAAUGGAAAUACACCAAGUAAAGUACAAGUACCUCAAAUUUGUACUUUAGCUACAUCCCUCCUCUGAUUAUAUUGCUGAAAAUAUCGUACAUAUUCUUACAAACACUGAGCUAUUAUUAAAGAGUCGUAAAACGUGAAUAAAAUGUCAAAAAAUAUCUUUAUUUUUACUUCUUUGUUUGUAACGAAGUUGAAAAUCAUUAGACCAAUAAUUAAGCAUGUCAGAUAAAUUACAUAAAGUUGCUUUUAAACAAGA